rnacentral:misc_RNA from 1 species
GAUGAAGAACGUAGCGAAAUGCGAUAAGUAAUGUGAAUUGCAGAAUUCAGUGAAUCAUCGAAUCUUUGAACGCACAUUGCGCCCUCUGGUAUUCCGGGGGGCAUGCCUGUUCGAGCGUCAUUACAACCCUCAAGCUUUGCUUGGUAUUGGACAUUGCCAGUUUCUGGCAGGUCUUAAAAUCAGUGGCGGUGCCAUUUGGCUUCAAGCGUAGUAAUUCUUCUCGCUUUGGAGAUCCAAGUGGUUACUUGCCAAUAACCCCCAAUUUUUUCAGGUUGACCUCGGAUCAGGUAGGGAUACCCGCUGAACUUAAGCAUAUCAAAAGCGGAGGA